GAGGGACGCACCUUCUUGGGCUUGGGGAGGUUUGGCUGCUGCCACUGAGCUGGAGAUGAGACAAGGAGGACUGAGUACAGGGACCAACCACUCUGAAGGAGUUGGAGUCGCCGAGGAGUUUGGGCCUACCGUGAACAUCGAGGCGUGCAGUGCUGGACACGAUGCCGGCUUCGUUCUUGGCAGAAACCGUGUACCAGCCAGCGUCUUCCUUCAGAGCUGGCUGAAUUAUCAUACACAGGACUCGUUCUCCCUCUUCCAGAAGAUCUGAGGGUGAGGAACGCCGGUGACGCGACACUCCAGCCUCACAGGGUGACCCUCAGCGACGCUUGUGUUCUGCAGCUUCUCGAUGAACGAGGGAACCUUAUGCAUCUCUUUGGCUGUGGGCGGAGAGUUUAUUACUGAGCUGCACCGUGAAACCGAAUCAUUCAUGUGUGUGUGUGUGUGUGUGUGUGUGUGUGUGUACCUGCAACAAUGAGCUCCAGGUUGAAGGAGUUCUGGCCGGCUCUGUUGCUGGCGAUGCAGGUGUAGAUGCCCGCGUCGCGGCUCGUCACGGGCUCGAUGACCAGUGAGUGCACGCCGUUCUCCCUCACCAGCAUCUUGUGAGCGGAGUCGGGGCGGAUGGUCUGUCCGUUCAGCUGCCAGACGAGGUCGGGCGUGGGAAGACCACUCACCUGCAGGUGGUUGGGAAAAAAAUGUGUGAGUUCUUGUUCAGCUGGUUUGUGUGUGUGUGUGUGUGUGUGUGUGUGUGUGUGUGUUCACUGGGAUUCUGAACACAGCAGUAUUUGGGUAAUCUUCCUGCAUGAGAGUAACCUACACAGAGCAGAAACCCUACACCUGCCCUGCAAGGCCCACAUGCUCCGAUCACAAGUCCGACAGAAUUCCCAGAAAUUCCAAGGGAACAGCAGAUAUGUUUAAGGAUUUGGAGUCUUUCACAGAUGGAAAGUUCAGAAAGAGACAGAUGAGCUGUAAAUAAAUGUUGUUAAACGUCUGUCGGACAGACUAAUGCAGGUUGUGUUAACUGCAAGGACGAGAGGUGACGACGGAGCGGAAGGAAAACGAUACAUGAGCCGCACGUGUACAGCGCCUCUCAGAGUCAGGACUCCAAAGGGCUUUACACUACAGUGUGUCAUUCACCCAUUCACACACACACUGGUGGGGAUGAGCUACCAUGUAGCCACAGCUGCCCUGGGGCUGCCGAGCACAGGCGCCACCAGUCCCUCCGACCACCACCAGCAGGCAAGGGGGGUUAAGUGUCUUGCCCAAGGACACAACAGCAGAAUUCUCUGUCCGGAGCCGGGAUCGAACUUGCAACCUUCCGAUUACUGGACAGCCCGCUCUACCUGUUGAGCUGCUGCUGCCCCGACGUGCCAAAUCAGCACAAAUGUAAGUAAAUGUGGAAACCUGAUCCCUGAGAAACGACACCUCUGAGUUUUCCGCCUGCUGCGAGUCAUUUAGAUCAACACGACAACCCGGAGAAGCAUCGUCUCUACUGUUGUUCUCUCUCCACGAAGAAGCUGGAAUGCUGAGAACUGGGAACUUUUUCUGUGGCAGCGCUGACUCGGCCUCCCUCUAGACGCUGAGUAAAGGGCGGAUCUGAAACGGUUUCUGCAUCACUGAGACUAACCUCUUGGUUUGGGCUUUUCCUCCAGUUAUUUUAGAGCGAUCCACUCUCUUUGCUUUAUUACAGGCAGCGGCGUGGUGGGGCCAUGCAUCCAUCCAGGCAUCACACACACUACUUUACAUUAAACUCUAUAUUUUGUAAGGUUUAUUUUUCCAUGUUUCAUGGCUUAUCCAGAGUUGGGUCUCCUCUACUGCUUCUGCAGCAGAGCUGUGUGUGUUCUCUUUACCUUACAGUCCAUUCGGCACAAGCGUCCCUCCUGGACGAUGAGGUCACCAGGUGCCUGCAGGAAGUGGGGGCGGAAGUGACGCUCCUGGAUUUUGUCAUUCUCAUCUCCGCUGUCUCUAGACCUGGACCUGGAUCUGGCAGAAGGAUUUAAAACAUUUAAUUAUGAGACGUACAUUUGUACUUUUCUAUUUUAAAUGAGUCACUAUUGAUCAGCAUCAAAUCCACACUUUAGUUUUUAUGCAAGUCCGACAUGUCAUCGUUUAUAUUUUUGUCUAAAAAUAAAAGUUCCCAUGCUGACCACCGUUCA